rnacentral:rRNA from 1 species
AGUUUGAUCCUGGCUCAGGAUGAACGCUGGCGGCGUGCUUAACACAUGCAAGUCGAACGGUGAAGCCAAGCUUGCUUGGUGGAUCAGUGGCGAACGGGUGAGUAACACGUGAGCAACCUGCCCUGGACUCUGGGAUAAGCGCUGGAAACGGCGUCUAAUACUGGAUAUGAGCCUCUUCCGCAUGGUGGGGGUUGGAAAGAUUUUUUGGUCUGGGAUGGGCUCGCGGCCUAUCAGCUUGUUGGUGAGGUAAUGGCUCACCAAGGCGUCGACGGGUAGCCGGCCUGAGAGGGUGACCGGCCACACUGGGACUGAGACACGGCCCAGACUCCUACGGGAGGCAGCAGUGGGGAAUAUUGCACAAUGGGCGAAAGCCUGAUGCAGCAACGCCGCGUGAGGGAUGACGGCCUUCGGGUUGUAAACCUCUUUUAGCAGGGAAGAAGCGAAAGUGACGGUACCUGCAGAAAAAGCGCCGGCUAACUACGUGCCAGCAGCCGCGGUAA